UUUAGUUUCCGUUGAUUAAUUUCCGCUCACAGCUCAAUCAGCAGGUCCAUCAAUUUUUCGCAUAUUUCUUUCCCCUUAAUAUGAUUUCCACUUGAGGGCUGAAUAUCGGAUGGAAACGGAUUGCAGGGCACGUGGAUUGACGGCCCAAAAGGAUAUCAAUUCAGCCGACGGGUUCUGGAUUUAAUUUUGGGCCAUGUUCGUUAAAGGUUCGGUCGAAAUGAUUUAUUUCGAGUUUCAUUUCGAUUUCUGGUUUUCGGUUGUCGAUACUCGACUGCCGGUGGUUUCUGGUGACGCCUCCCGUUCCACUUGGCUAAUGAAAUCAUUCCGUGACACUCCGCACUCCAGACCUCCGUGUGCAACCCUCUUAAUUGUUAAAUCGAAUUCGCUGCUUUGGCUGUGCGCGACAACGCGGCGUAUGCGUAAUGCGAUUAUUGAAAUGUGUUGAUUGGAAUCAAGUUUGCAUUUUAAUUGGAUUGCCAUUGUUUGGCGCGCACAGAACACAGCGAUGACAACAAGCGCUUUCAAAUGGAUUACACAUUUUAGUUAUGAACUCCAAGUGCCUUCAAAUGUUUGCUGCGCUUCAAAUUAUAAAUCGCAAUUGCAUCCGCACCUGGAUUCGAGUGGAAUAUGUGUGUAUAUUUCAAUGCUUUCGUGUGACAUCAGGAAUCUGUGCGAAAUCUAACCUUUGUCAUCGUAGGUGCCCUUUGUCAUGUUUUCCAUCCAUUUGUUGGGUUCUUUCAAAUUUAUCAUUACGCGGAAACUUCAAAAAGCACGAGGCGGAAACUUUUCUUUCCAAGCGGUGCAGAAAAGAAAGCGAAAAAAGUUUAAUUAAAUAAAUUACAAAAUGCUUUGCCAGCGACAACAAUUCAUUAAAAAAAGAACGAAAGACAAAGGCAGCCCAGUUGGUUUGGGUUUUUGUUCGGCUCGAAAAAAAAAAAACAAACAAAAAGUUGAGGCAUUCUGCCAGACGAGCGUCGAGAUGCGUUUUGCACGGCUUCAGGACGAAAGGACGAAGGACAACAGGACUACAGGACGACAGGACUUGGCUGGCUGGCAAAUUAAAAGCCGACUGCGAAGGCGCCCAUAAAUCUCAGCCAGCAGUUGUUGGGUGCUUUUAGUUUCCGGCGCGUUGCACUAGGAGCUCGGUGGCUGCCGCACAAAGUUGCCGCACAGACAAACAAUGCCGAAUCGCGAGGGCGGGCUGCUUUCAAAUUGCGUUGAAAGCUCCCGAAUGCCCCAUUUUGCUGCUGCUGGCGUGGGGAAAAGGCCAGCAAAAAAUAGCGAAUAAAAAAAUGAAGUCGACAAAAAAAAAAGGGAGGCAGCACAAAAAAAAAAUAAAGAACUAGAUGUGACACGAACAACGGCAAGCGACAACGUUCCGGAACAGAAACGGAAAUUGUGAAAUAUACAAAUGUUCGUCUUGUUUAGUGUAAGCCCAAGUGGGACCGCCUCCAGAGUUUCGCGGACAAGGGUAUAAGGAACGCUUUGUAAUAAAAAUAUAUGGAUCUGGCUCGGACAACGGCAACAUGUCACAUUGUUAAAAAAAAAAGACACAAAAAUCGGAAACGGAGGGCGGCUGGGCGGCAGAAGUGCACAGAAUGGAGAAAUCCCGACAAUUUGUUGCCAGGCGUUAAACGCUGGAAUAUCCGGUGAAACACGCUUAUUAAAACGGUAGCAUUUAGGCCGGUUCACACCCCACUUUGUCCGCAGGGAUAACAAAUUGGAAGGACAACAAAUAAGGCAGCAGGAGCAAACUGAUCGUGUAAUGAAUGUAAAAGGAGACUUCGGGCACAAAAAAAAAGGUCAACCAUUGUUCUCAAUUGCACACAGCUUUUGUCAAUUUAGGGGAAUAAGAGGGAAAACAUCCACUUGAAUAUAUUAUUUAAAUUUGUGUUUACAU
rnacentral:sRNA from 13 species